UGUAAGCGUAGCGAUACGUUGAGCUAACCGAUACUAAUGAACCGUGAGGCUUAACCUUACAACGCCGAAGGUGUUU
rnacentral:rRNA from 1 species